rnacentral:misc_RNA from 1 species
AAAAUAAAUAAAAAAAAAAGAUUGAAAUCAAAAGUUCGUACAAAAAGUCUCAAUUUCACUCAAAUUUCAACUGAAAUGAAUUGAAAUUUUAACACCCACUCGAAUUUUCAAAAACUAUUAGAAAGAAAAGAAACGCAGAACGCAAAAUUGACGCAAACAAGAAGAAGAAAAAUGCUUCCACGUUUCUAUUGUCUUGGGGCAAAAUUUCAAUCCAUCUGAUGGAAGUUCACCCUUGAUCUCUGUUUUUUUCACGAGAAAAAAGAAAUAAAAUCGGUAAUUGGAUGGAGGGGGGCACAGAGAAUGUGUAACUUACAAAGUGGCGGAGGUCGG